GACGAACGCUGGCGGCGUGCUUAACACAUGCAAGUCGAACGAAGAGCGACGGAAGCUUGCUUCUAUCAAUCUUAGUGGCGAACGGGUGAGUAACGCGUAAUCAACCUGCCCUUCAGAGGGGGACAACAGUUGGAAACGACUGCUAAUACCGCAUACGAUCUAACCUCGGCAUCGAGGAUAGAUGAAAGGUGGCCUCUACAUGUAAGCUAUCACUGAAGGAGGGGAUUGCGUCUGAUUAGCUAGUUGGAGGGGUAACGGCCCACCAAGGCGAUGAUCAGUAGCCGGUCUGAGAGGAUGAACGGCCACAUUGGGACUGAGACACGGCCCAGACUCCUACGGGAGGCAGCAGUGGGGAAUCUUCCGCAAUGGACGAAAGUCUGACGGAGCAACGCCGCGUGAGUGAUGACGGCCUUCGGGUUGUAAAGCUCUGUUAAUCGGGACGAAAGGCCUUCUUGCGAAUAGUGAGAAGGAUUGACGGUACCGGAAUAGAAAGCCACGGCUAACUACGUG
rnacentral:rRNA from 1 species